AUGAACGCUAGCUACAGGCUUAACACAUGCAAGUCGAGGGGCAGCAUUUCAGUUUGCUUGCAAACUGGAGAUGGCGACCGGCGCACGGGUGAGUAACACGUAUCCAACCUGCCGAUAACUCGGGGAUAGCCUUUCGAAAGAAAGAUUAAUACCCGAUGGUAUAAUCAGACCGCAUGGUCUUGUUAUUAAAGAAUUUCGGUUAUCGAUGGGGAUGCGUUCCAUUAGGCAGUUGGUGAGGUAACGGCUCACCAAACCUUCGAUGGAUAGGGGUUCUGAGAGGAAGGUCCCCCACAUUGGAACUGAGACACGGUCCAAACUCCUACGGGAGGCAGCAGUGAGGAAUAUUGGUCAAUGGGCGCAGGCCUGAACCAGCCAAGUAGCGUGAAGGAUGACUGCCCUAUGGGUUGUAAACUUCUUUUAUAUGGGAAUAAAGUUUUCCACGUGUGGAAUUUUGUAUGUACCAUAUGAAUAAGGAUCGGCUAACUCCGUGCCAGCAGCCGCGGUAAUACGGAGGAUCCGAGCGUUAUCAGGAUUUAUUGGGUUUAAAGGGAGCGUAGGUGGACAGUUAAGUCAGUUGUGAAAGUUUGCGGCUCAACCGUAAAAUUGCAGUUGAUACUGGCUGUCUUGAGUACAGUAGAGGUGGGCGGAAUUCGUGGUGUAGCGGUGAAAUGCUUAGAUAUCACGAAGAACUCCGAUUGCGAAGGCAGCUCACUGGACUGCAACUGACACUGAUGCUCGAAAGUGUGGGUAUCAAACAGGAUUAGAUACCCUGGUAGUCCACACAGUAAACGAUGAAUACUCGCUGUUUGCGAUAUACAGUAAGCGGCCAAGCGAAAGCAUUAAGUAUUCCACCUGGGGAGUACGCCGGCAACGGUGAAACUCAAAGGAAUUGACGGGGGCCCGCACAAGCGGAGGAACAUGUGGUUUAAUUCGAUGAUACGCGAGGAACCUUACCCGGGCUUAAAUUGCAUUUGAAUAUAUUGGAAACAGUAUAGUCGUAAGACAAAUGUGAAGGUGCUGCAUGGUUGUCGUCAGCUCGUGCCGUGAGGUGUCGGCUUAAGUGCCAUAACGAGCGCAACCCUUAUCUUUAGUUACUAACAGGUCAUGCUGAGGACUCUAGAGAGACUGCCGUCGUAAGAUGUGAGGAAGGUGGGGAUGACGUCAAAUCAUCAUGCCCCUUAUGACUUGGGCUACACACGUGCUACAAUGGUUGGUACAACGAGUCGCGAGUCGGUGACGGCAAGCAAAUCUCUUAAAGCCUCUCUCAGUUCGGAUCGAAGUCUGCAACCCGACUUCGUGAAGCUGGAUUCGCUAGUAAUCGCGCAUCAGCCAUGGCGCGGUGAAUACGUUCCCGGGCCUUGUACACACCGCCCGUCAAGCCAUGAAAGCCGGGGGUACCUGAAGUACGUAACCGCAAGGAGCGUCCUAGGGUAAAACUGGUAAUUGGGGCU
rnacentral:rRNA from 1 species